GCUAGGCAAGGUGGCACAUGCCUGUAAUCCCAGUGGUUUGGGAGGCUGAGGCAGGAGGAUUGUGAGUUCAAAACCAGCCUCAGCAUUUUAGUGAGGCACUAAGCAACUAAGCAAGACCCUGUUUCUA
rnacentral:sRNA from 1 species